UACGGGGGGAGCAAGCGUUGUUCGGAUUUACUGGGCGUAAAGGGCGCGUAGGCGGCCACCGCAAGUCGACUGUGAAAUCUCCGGGCUUAACCCGGAAAGGUCAGCCGAUACUGCGGGGCUAGAGUGCAGAGGAGACUGGAAUUCCCGGUGUAGCGGUGAAAUGUGUAGAGAUCGGGAGGAACACCGGUGGCGAAGGCGGGUCUCUGGGCAAUUCCUGACGCUGAGGCGCGAAAGCGUGGGGAGCAAACGGG
rnacentral:rRNA from 1 species